UACGUAGGGCGCAAGCGUUAUCCGGAAUUAUUGGGCGUAAAGAGCUCGUAGGCGGUUUGUCGCGUCUGCCGUGAAAGUCCGGGGCUCAACUCCGGAUCUGCGGUGGGUACGGGCAGACUAGAGUGAUGUAGGGGAGACUGGAAUUCCUGGUGUAGCGGUGAAAUGCGCAGAUAUCAGGAGGAACACCGGUGGCGAAGGCGGAUCUCUGGGCCAUAACUGACGCUGAGGAGCGAAAGCGUGGGGAGCGAACAGG
rnacentral:rRNA from 1 species